AUGAUGCAGACAAUUAAGGCUAACAGUGUUUCGGAGAAAUACAUCCUUAGGAGAUACACCAAACGCCCGAACAUCCAGCCAACCUUCAACAGAAAUAACUUGAGGACAGUAGCGUCAAACAAGGCCUCCCAAUACUGCAUUGAAAGCGUACAGCUGCAGCUGAACAUGAGAGUGCACAGAAAAAGCUUGAGAAGCCAAGACCAAAUGGCGAGGCCACGAGUCAUCAUGGAAAGACUUGAACAAGAACUCAACGCCAUGCAAUCUGCUAAAAACGGAGAUGUCGCGGACAACAAAGCAGAAAAAAUUGAGCAGGAUGUCGCUACAAUCUUAUCUGAGAUGAACCAUCUGGGAGCUAUUGACACAUGCGACAACCAGGAGGAGGAGCAAUAG
rnacentral:rRNA from 1 species